UACGAAGGGUGCAAGCGUUACUCGGAAUUACUGGGCGUAAAGGGUGCGUAGGUGGUUCGUUAAGUCUGAUGUGAAAGCCCUGGGCUCAACCUGGGAAUUGCAUUGGAUACUGGCGGGCUAGAGUGCGGUAGAGGGUAGUGGAAUUCCCGGUGUAGCAGUGAAAUGCGUAGAUAUCGGGAGGAACAUCCGUGGCGAAGGCGACUGCCUGGACCAGCACUGACACUGAGGCACGAAAGCGUGGGGAGCAAACAGG
rnacentral:rRNA from 1 species